CAGUCAUUGCGCAGGCACUUUGGUGACUCUAGAUAACCUUGGGCCGAUCACACGUCCCAGUGACGGCGACAACGCAUUCGGAUUUCUGCCCUAUCAACUUUCGAUGUUACUUUCUGCGCCUACCAUGAGGAAUAACGGUGAAUCAGGGUUCGAUUCCGGAAAGGAAGCCAGAGAAACGGCUACCACAUCCAAAGAAAGCAGCAGGCAUGCAAAUUACCCACUCCCAACGCGGGGAGGUAGUGA